rnacentral:lncRNA from 1 species
CACGCUCAUCUCUGAAGAAAGAAGACUCAAAGGAGAUGGGAGGGAUACUUCUUCUGGAAGUGUGUAUAUGUGCUACGGGAAAUGAAAGGAAAAGAGGAACCCCAUGAAGCGGAAUGUUGUUUUGCUGGAAGUGUGGAGAGCCUCGACACAUGAAGAAGAAUUACACACGGGCAUUGGUUUGACAGGAAUGCAAAGUGUGUGAUGAAACAGUUAUGUCGAGAGCUGAUGGACUUCCCAAGAGAGCCAAUAAUGGAGGUUGCACCAUAAUAACCAGCAAUGUGUUUUUCGACAUGAGCCGAAGUGGAAACUCUUAGAAAUGGGGCGGAGAUCUCGGGAUUUACGGAAAAGGAUCAUUUUUUUUCCAAUAUAGUGAAGUAAAAUGGUAAAACAGAUAAUUGUGAUCCCAUAUAUAUAUAUAUAUAUUGC